AAGGCAUGAUGGGGACAUUUUUUGAUGAGAUCCUUUAAUCUUUCCCAUGAUUCAUGGAACUACUCACUAUCGUGCUGUGAAAAGCUAGCGAGAGCUCGCCUU
rfam:Cephalotus follicularis DNA, scaffold: scaffold2550, isolate: St1.